AGUGAACGCUGGCGGCGUGCUUAACACAUACAAGUCGAACGAGAACGGAAUAUAGCUUGCUAUAUUUGUCAGCUAAGUGGCGCACGGGUGAGUAAUGUACAGAUAACCUGCCCUUAAGAAAGGAAUAACAGUUGGAAACGACUGCUAAUGCCCUAUAUGCCUUUAAUACAUAAGUAUGCAAGGGAAACGCUUUAGUGCUUAAGGAUGGGUCUGUAUGGUAUCAGCUUGAUGGUGAGGUAAUGGCUCACCAAGGCUAUGACGCCUAACUGGUUUGAGAGGAUGAUCAGUCACACUGGAACUGAGACACGGUCCAGACUCCUACGGGAGGCAGCAGUGGGGAAUAUUGCACAAUGGACGAAAGUCUGAUGCAGCAACGCCGCGUGGAGGAUGACACAUUUCGGUGCGUAAACUCCUUUUAUAUAGGAAGAUAAUGACGGUACUAUAUGAAUAAGCACCGGCUAACUCCGUGCCAGCAGCCGCCGUAAAAC
rnacentral:rRNA from 1 species